UUAAGAUUUUAUUUUGAUCUUUUUUUGAGUCAUGAUUUUAAAAGUGUUUGUUUGAAGGUUAUAGCACCUUAUUAACUGACUAAAGAACUUCUGUCCUGACCUAGAGUCCAACAGAACAGAGUGAGUGAGAGGGCCGGGCUCAAAGAGAGAGAGAAAAAGAGAAACUGAUAGAACGAAAAAGCAGCAUAUCAUUUAGGGGAGGAGUUUACAUACUUCGUUCAGGAAAAGCUCUAAACUCAUGCCACAAGGACAUACACACACACACAGACAUACACACCCCUUGCCCUACAGGAGCAUUACAGACUAUAAUGUUUAGUUUUAGUCAGUUUGAAAGGAACUUUUCGCCAACUCCACAGAGCAGAUACUGACAGAUCUAUGCGGAACAAACACACAGCCGGGUGUCAGCUGGACAGAGCGAUAUCCCCCGCUGAGCUCGAUGCCUUAUGGAAUGACCCUCCAUACGCUUUAGCAGCCGUCAGUGAGCUCUUUUCACCCAAUGACGCCAUGACAGCUGGUAAGAGGAUUUCUUGAGUAAAGCAUGAGUGUUUCAGCAAAAAAUAAUGUUAGAAUAUAUAGGAAUUUAUAGGAAAGAGUUUUACAUGAUUCUAAUAUAAAUGUAUUUUGUGUUUAAUAAAUUAUUUUAAACAACUGUCUGAAACAUCCUGUCUUUUCAACGAAAUUCUGGGAAGGUCAUACCCAGCCGGAGAUGAGGAAGAAGCUAUUAUUUAAGCCAUCUGGCUGAUAUUUAUAGAGCCAUUAUAAUAUGGCUUGCACUUCCUGUUUAUGUCCACAACUUUAUGAGCUUGUAAACAAAGCUCUGAUAUUUUCAUAGCUACAAACAUGCUAAUUAGCACCAACUGUAUCAUGUUUUUGAAUAAGGAACUAUUGUACAUGGUGAUGACAUUACACAUUCAAACAUAGGAAGUGCAUACCUGCAAAAGGAACCUUAUACUUGUCCUUAAUUAUUCAAUAAUUCAUCAGUCUUAUCCCUCUUCAGCCAUUCAGAGUUGCUUUUCUGUAAGUUUACAGAUUAAUUAUGAGGUGCAAUGGAUGUUCACUGAACUACAUACCAAAUGCAGUUGCAUUCUGUAAAGCUACGUUGACCCCAGUUUCCUUUGUUUUGCCAUUGGAGAUGAGGAAGCGGAGGCUGAGGCCGAGGUGGAGGCAGAAGGCAUAAGCAGAGAAAUUUACUGGAGGAGGAAGGAAACAUUCAGCGGAAGUAGCAAAGUAUCUUCAGCAGGAGAACGCUUCUCUUCAGGUAUCUGCUUUAUGGAUCUCUGUGUCCCAUACACUUGCGUGGAAAUAAUGGCCCCUAUCUCUAUAAUAGCCUUUAAUGGCUACACUUCUUAAGCUCACUCUCAUAACUAAUGCCAGACUUCCUUAAUGUGUACACUUGCCCUAAUGGUAUGUCUUAAGUGAUGUGGUCACUCAUAGUGCUGUUCCUGCAAAAAAAAAGUUUGCUAAGCAUACUAGCAUUGUGAUGUUGGACAGCAAUAAAUCACACUCUACAUCAGUAGAGCAUUCUAGUUACUGAUAAUGCAAUUGAUCAAUUAGUUUCUUUGUGGUGGAUACUUAACUCCAUUCCCUUUUGCUUUUUGGAGAUGUUGUUUUGUUGUUUAGCGGGAGGCGACGAUCUGGGGUAACACCUGACGGUGAGCUUCAGGAGGCGUUACGUACCAGACUCCGAGUAGUAGAGAGCAACAGCCAGGAUGUUGUUCAGCUCUUUAAGGUCAGACACAGAAGUAUUCAUGCAAAACAUGCACUGGCACCACUGAUGAACUUAUUACAUAGGGUAUUUUAUUCUUCAUUAUAUUGUGACCACUGAUACUAUCCACACAGGAUCUGUC
rnacentral:lncRNA from 1 species